GGAUGAACGCUGGCGGCGUGCCUAAUACAUGCAAGUCGAGCGAACGGACGAGAAGCUUGCUUCUCUGAUGUUAGCGGCGGACGGGUGAGUAACACGUGGAUAACCUACCUAUAAGACUGGGAUAACUUCGGGAAACCGGAGCUAAUACCGGAUAAUAUUUUGAACCGCAUGGUUCAAAAGUGAAAGACGGUCUUGCUGUCACUUAUAGAUGGAUCCGCGCUGCAUUAGCUAGUUGGUAAGGUAACGGCUUACCAAGGCAACGAUGCAUAGUCGACCUGAGAGGGUGAUCGGCCACACUGGAACUGAGACACGGUCCAGACUCCUACGGGAGGCAGCAGUAGGGAAUCUUCCGCAAUGGGCGAAAGCCUGACGGAGCAACGCCGCGUGAGUGAUGAAGGUCUUCGGACCGUAAAACUCUGUUAUUAGGGAAGAACAUAUGUGUAAGUAACUGUGCACAUCUUGACGGUACCUAAUCAGAAAGCCACGGCUAACUACGUG
rnacentral:rRNA from 1 species